rnacentral:tRNA from 1 species
UGAGACUUAGUUAAUAAAUAAUUUUGGUCUGUCGGUCCAAAGUAAUGAGGUAGGUUCUUGUAGUCUUAG